CCUACGGGAGGCAGCAGUGAGGAAUAUUGGUCAAUGGACGAGAGUCUGAACCAGCCAAGUAGCGUGAAUGAUGACUGCCCUAUGGGUUUUAAACUUUGUUUAUAUGGGAAUAAAAUGUUCCGCGUGUGUGAUUUUGUAUGUACCAUAUCUAUAAGGAUCGGCUAACUCCGUGCCAGCAGCCGCGGUAAUACGGAGGAUCCGAGCGUUAUCCGGAUUUAUUGGGUUUAAAGGGAGCGCAGGUGGAUUGUUAAGUCAGUUGUGAAAGUUUGCGGCUCAACCGUAAAAUUGCAGUUGAAACUGGCAGUCUUGAGUGCAGUAGAGGUGGGCGGAACUCGAGGUGUAGCGGUGAAAUGCUUAGAUAUCACGAAGAACUCCGAUUGCGAAGGCAGUUCACUGGACUGCAACUGACACUGAGGUUCGAAAGUGUGGGUAGCAAACAGGAUUAGAUACCCUAGUAGUC
rnacentral:rRNA from 1 species